CCCAACUCCAAUUACACCAUCUCUCAACACUACUUGUGUGCUAUUAUAACAUAGGCUAAUACAAAAAAUUGUAGUGACUGCCCUCGUGUAAAAUCGGAUGUCUACGUCAGAGCCAGCAAACCGCUGCAGUCAAAACUCUCGCUGGAGACGUAACUCCUGUAGCUCCUACCUCAGCCCCUGUACUUCAUUUGAGACGCUUUCAGCAGCUGAUGCGGACAUAUCCAUGGGAGCCGGUUCAGGGACAGAGCAGUAGUCUUCAUCGUCGAAAAGGAGAUCAACUUCAUCUUCCGGAGGGGCAGUUUUGGCGAACUGAUCCACUCUCUCCCACACGCCGCGCCUUGGGGUUUCGACUGUAUCCUGGUUCCACUCAAAAAGGGUCGCUACGGCACCUUUUGUGUUCCCGAUUCCUGGGGGGUGGAGCUACGGCUACUUAAGGCGUGGCCUGUGCUCCCGAUGGGGCUCUCAUUCUGGCGUCCUCACGUUGACCCGAGCUGCCUUGGAAUCCUGCUGGGAGGACUGCUACCGUUUUUUCGCAUUUGUUUUAUGUAGCGGAGGAUGGGAACUGUAGGGAGGAAGUGCUGGCUUCGACGGCCCAUUGCGUGGCUGGCCCAGGCUUCGUCCAACCUUUUGUUUCUUUAAUGAGUGUCCUUUUGUCGGAAGUUCUGUGAAAUAAACGUCACCAGCAUUGUGAUCGGGAACUUUGGGUCU
ensembl:lncRNA